GAUUCGUCACACUAUCAUUAACUGAAUCCAUAGGUUAAUGAGGCGAACCGGGGGAACUGAAACAUCUAAGUACCCCGAGGAAAAGAAAUCAACCGAGAUUCCCCCAGUAGCGGCGAGCGAACGGGGAGGAGCCCAGAGCCUGAAUCAGCAUGUGUGUUAGUGGAAGCGUCUGGAAAGGCGCGCGAUACAGGGUGACAGCCCCGUACACAAAAGCGCAUGUGCUGUGAGCUCGAUGAGUAGGGCGGGACACGUGGUAUCCUGUCUGAAUAUGGGGGGACCAUCCUCCAAGGCUAAAUACUCCUGACUGACCGAUAGUGAACCAGUACCGUGAGGGAAAGGCGAAAAGAACCCCGGCGAGGGGAGUGAAAAAGAACCUGAAACCGUGUACGUACAAGCAGUGGGAGCACCCUUCGGGGUGUGACUGCGUACCUUUUGUAUAAUGGGUCAGCGACUUAUAUUCUGUAGCAAGGUUAACCGUAUAGGGGAGCCGGAGGGAAACCGAGUCUUAAUUGGGCGUUAAGUUGCAGGGUAUAGACCCGAAACCCGGUGAUCUAGCCAUGGGCAGGUUGAAGGUUGGGUAACACUAACUGGAGGACCGAACCGACUAAUGUUGAAAAAUUAGCGGAUGACCUGUGGCUGGGGGUGAAAGGCCAAUCAAACCGGGAGAUAGCUGGUUCUCCCCGAAAGCUAUUUAGGUAGCGCCUCGUGAAUUCAUCUCCGGGGGUAGAGCACUGUUUCGGCUAGGGGGCCAUCCCGGCUUACCAACCCGAUGCAAACUGCGAAUACCGGAGAAUGUUAUCACGGGAGACACACGGCGGGUGCUAACGUCCGUCGUGAAGAGGGAAACAACCCAGACCGCCAGCUAAGGUCCCAAAGUCAUGGUUAAGUGGGAAACGAUGUGGGAAGGCCCAGACAGCCAGGAUGUUGGCUUAGAAGCAGCCAUCAUUUAAAGAAAGCGUAAUAGCUCACUGGUCGAGUCGGCCUGCGCGGAAGAUGUAACGGGGCUAAACCAUGCACCGAAGCUGCGGCAGCGAACGUAUCACCCAAGACAACUUUACGGAGUUGACGAUUGACGGAGCGAAGCGACGUCAAAGCGUUCAUUAAAGUCGAGUUGGCUUAGGGAUACGUUCGUUGGGUAGGGGAGCGUUCUGUAAGCCUGUGAAGGUGUGUCGUGAGGCAUGCUGGAGGUAUCAGAAGUGCGAAUGCUGACAUAAGUAACGAUAAAGCGGGUGAAAAGCCCGCUCGCCGGAAGACCAAGGGUUCCUGUCCAACGUUAAUCGGGGCAGGGUGAGUCGACCCCUAAGGCGAGGCCGAAAGGCGUAGUCGAUGGGAAACGGGUUAAUAUUCCCGUACUUGGUGUUACUGCGAAGGGGGGACGGAGAAGGCUAUGUUGGCCGGGCGACGGUUGUCCCGGUUUAAGCGUGUAGGUGUGUGUUCCAGGUAAAUCCGGUU
rnacentral:rRNA from 1 species